rnacentral:rRNA from 1 species
GACGAACGCUGGCGGCGUGCUUAACACAUGCAAGUCGAACGGAGUGGCGAACGGGUGAGUAUUACGUGAGUAACCUGCCCUCAACUGUGGGAUAAGCCUGGGAAACUGGGUCUAAUACUGCAUAGUUGGGGAUGGGCUCGCGGACGAUGAGCUUGGUGGGGGGGUGAUGGCCUAACAAGGCGGUGACGGGUAGCCGGCCUGCGAGGGUGGUCGGACAGAGCGGGGCUGAAGUACUGCACGGAAGCCUACGGUAGGGAGCAGUGGGGGAUAUUGCACAGUGGGAGCAAGCCGGAUGCAGCGACUCCGGGUGAGGGAUGAAGGGUUUCGGGUUGUAAUCCUCUUUCGGUACAGAACGGGUAUGUUCAGAAGAAGCGCCGGCUAACUACGUGCCAGCAGCCGCGGUAAUAC